rnacentral:rRNA from 1 species
CCUACGGGAGGCUGCAGUGAGGAAUAUUGGUCAAUGGACGAGAGUCUGAACCAGCCAAGUAGCGUGAAGGAUGACUGCCCUAUGGGUUGUAAACUUCUUUUAUAAAGGAAUAAAACGAGGCACGUGUGCCUUUUUGCAUGUACUUUAUGAAUAAGGAUCGGCUAACUCCGUGCCAGCAGCCGCGGUAAUACGGAGGAACCGAGCGUUAUCCGGAUUUCUUGGGUUUAAAGGGAGCGUAGAUGGGUUGUUAAGUCAGUUGUGAAAGUUUGCGGCUCAACCGUAAAAUUGCAAUUGAUACUGGCAGUCUUGAGUACAGUUGGGGUAGGCGGAAUUCGUGGUGUAGCGGUGAAAUGCUUAGAUAUCACGAAGAACCCCGAUGGCGAAGGCAGCUUACUAAACUGUGACUGACAUUGAUGCUCGAAAGUGUGGGUAUCAAACAGGAUUAGAUACCCUAGUAGUC